UAUAGAUCCAAAUCAGACCAGACUGCACUGAAUAACCUGGCCAGACAGGACUACAAGUGGGAGCCGCAGACUGCCUGCCUUUCUCCAUCCAGGGGACUCUGCUUUCCCCCAGUGUGGGCUGCUGGGCAUGAAUGGCCCCUUUGUCUUCAUCUCAGAUGUUUUGGCAGCACUUCUGAAAACAGUGAGCUGACUCGGCCACAGUCUCAUGGAAGUCCAUGAUAGAUGGUCUUAAGCCCACCACCGUGCAUUUUCCAGGCGUGAGGAAGAGACAGACGGACAGAUGGAUAGAUGGAUUGGAUACAUGCAUGU